rnacentral:rRNA from 1 species
GACUGUACUUGAGGAAUAACCCACGGCUAAUUCCGUGCCUGCUCCCUCGUCAAUACGGGAAUGUUAAGCGUUAUCCGGAAGUAUUGUGCGUAAAGCGUCCGCAGGCGGGCUUGUAAGUCUGUCGUUAAAGCGUGGAGCUCAACUCCAUUUCAUUAAUGGAAACUACAAGGCUUGAGUGUGGUAUGGGCACAGGGAAUUCCCGGGGUACCGCCGAAAUGUCUAGAUAUCGUGAAUAACACCAAUGGCGAACGCGCUCUGCUGGGCCAUAACUGACGCUCAUGGACCAAAGCCAGGAGAGCGAAAGGCAUUAGAUACCCCUGUAGUCCUGGCCGUAAACGAUGAACACUAGGUGUCGGGGGAAUCGACCCCCUCGGUGUCGUAGCCAACGCGUUAAGUGUUCCUCCUGGGAGAGUACGCACGCAAGUGUGAAACUCAAAGGAAUUGACGGGGGCCCGCACAGGAAGGUGGAGUAUGUGGUUUAAUUCGAUGCUACGCGAAGAACCUUACCAGGGUUUGACAUCCUGCGAAUCCCUUGGAAAAGAGGGAGUGCCUUCGGGAGCGCAGAGACAGGUGGUGCAUGGCUGUCGUCAGCUCGUGUCGUGAGAUGUUGGGUUAACUCCCGCAACGAGCGCAACCCACGUCUUUAGUUGCCGCAUUCUUUGGGCACUCUAGAGAGACCGCCGGUGAUAAACCGGAGAAGGUGUGGAUGACGUCAAGUCAUCAUGCCCCUUACAUCCUGGGCUACACACCGUACUACAAUGUUUCGGACAAAGGGCAGCAAGCUCCCGAGAGUCAGCAAAUCCCAUAAACUGUGGCUCAGUUCAGAUCGUAGGCUGCAACUCGCAUACGUGAAGGAGGAAUCGCUAGUAAUCGCAGGUCAGCAUUCUGCGGUGAAUACGUUCCCGGGCCUUGUACACACCACCCGUCACACCAUGGAAGUUGGCCAUGCCCGAAGUCGUUACUCCAACCCUUGUGGAGGAGGACGC